CACCAAGUCACUAAGAUGUCCAGGUUGGGCUCAAACUUGAGAUCCUCCUGCCUCAGCCUCUCAAAAUGCUGAGAUUAUAAGCAUGUGCCAACACACCUCCAGGAGCUACUUUUGUUCCUUCAAUUUUCUUAGAGAUUGAACUUGGGUCCUUGUGCUUACAAGACAGGCAGCGGAACCAUUGAGUAGUGGAAGAGAGUAUGAAGUUAGCAUGGAAAACUCCAGAUGUCACUGGGAGCAUGACGUUCUUGGAAGACAAAAAUCAACAAUUAUUAAUUUAAGUCCCAAGGCCCACAAAAGUCAAGGGCCCAGUGAGGGGCACGCCUCAGGUCCUGGAGCGGGACACGCGGAUGGUGGUGGCAACAGCGGC
rnacentral:lncRNA from 1 species